GAAUGUGAGGGCACUCCGGCCACAACAUCUAUCAUCCCACCGAUGACCAGAGAUGAUUCAACCAAUCUAGCUGGCUAGCUGGCUGUCUCCUUCCUCCCCUACGGCUCCAUAUGCAUCCCUCCCAAAGUUGCGCUCUUGGUAAAAGAUGACAAUCAUCUGAAAUACAAUGCACCAAUCUUUGGUUUAAAUAUACCUCCAGAACUGAAUAUUGGAAACUAUAUGAAUUGCAGAUUCAAACUUGUUUGUAGUC
ensembl:misc_RNA 7SK 7SK RNA